UCUGACUCUUAAAGAGCUCUUGAACAUUCUUGCAGAGAAACACCAACCAAAAGUGUAGUCAUCCAGGAAGAGAAGAGCCUGAGAGAAAAAUAGCACUUGGACUGGCACCAGGAGGAAGAGGAUAUGAAACUCGAAGAAGAGCUUUGCCGGGAUGACCCCUUCACUGAAGCUUUUCAAGAUGCUGAGCUGAAGAUGCUGAGGGAAGCUGCAUCUGGACUCCUGACCAUGGAAUCCGAGCUCAUAAGAAAAAUGGAAUCUGGGCGGAUGAAGAAUAAGCAGCGUAAGAAAUGCAAUGUCUUCAAGAGGAGCAAGUGUUGUUUUCUCUGCGUUUCCUUAAGAGAAGUGGAUAGUGAAAACUCCCAUCUGAAGUGACAGCAAAAAUAGCAGCCCAGUAUGAGUAAACCACUGGGUAUUUUGUCAAAGUGUCAAGUGACAGCACUUUCGACUCACAUCCCCUACAAUAAGAACUGAGAGACUGUUUCAAAGAAUCAGGUUUGAAUACUGGAAAAUAGCCGAUCACAUCCCUACCACGCAAUGCCGUCACGGGGAGUGGUCCCACUAUGCUAAUAUAUGAUUAUAACGCUGAUCACCUGUUCUUCCUCCAAAGACUAUUUCUUCCAAGCACCUCCCAAGAUCAUCUUGCUGAGUGACACAUCUCUUAAAUGUCCAUCUCUGCUCAGACUGCCCACCCUUCUCAGUGACAAAGGUUAAUAGCCUUCUAAGACACAUUCUUAAAAAUCACUCCUUGGAUAUUAUCGUAGACAUCGUUCCCUCCUCUGGUUUAACUGCACAUAUCUUUACUUGGAACUUUUUAAAGGUAGCUCCGUGACUUGCCCAUUGUCUCUUUUGUAGAAUAUUAAAAAAUCAAAACUGAAAAGUACCGAUACUAAUACAUAAGCAUCUGUUUAUGUUAGCCGUGUGCUCAACACUGGUUUGAGAGUUUUACAUGUAUUGACUGAUUUAAUCACUGUAACUGAUGCAGAAGGCUAUGAUCUUUUAGGGCAAGUAAAGUUGGACUUGAAAGAAAUGAAGCACUCACUUCCCUCAAGGUCACUGGGAGAUUUUGUGAAUCUACAGAGCAGCAUUAACAUCUAACACCAUUGAAGAAGUGGCUUCAGAUCCGUGGAUGCAAAUCACUGCUUUUCUCUGCCUUACUGUGUGACAGAAAGACAGAUCUGAAGAGAAAGAAGAGGAGGAAGGCAGCUAGAUCUAGCCACUGGGUGUUGUUGACCUACUGCAAGGAGAACCAGAUUAAGCUAGAUGGUGCCAGUGGAGUUCAGAGCAUCCGAAAAUGUGGCACCAUUCUUUGACACCAAGUCCCCUGAAAACCACCAUGCCAGUGUGGUGCUGCUCCAUCUUGGACUCCAGCAUCUUCACCAGCCCUAAGCACCGGCAACCAGUAAAGGGAUUCCAUGAAGCAGACCUGUCGAGCAUUACACCUAGAGCCUCUGACAAGCUAACAAGUACUCUACCACUGGUCUGAAGCCCCAGCCCUAACUCACUUUACCACACUUAUAAAUAACAGCACGACGCUGAGAGCAUUCCAUCCCUCAGAAGACACACAGGGAAGAGUGUGCGCCGGAUGUGAAUGCCAUGGAAAGAAUCGCCAGCGUCAUCCACACCUGAAGUCAGUUGUGCUGACAUGUAAAUGUUACUCACAGGUAGACGCUUCCGUUUCUGUUUAGCAUCAGACCCUUCCACUUGGGAAAGCCCAGUUUAUUGGUGACAUUUCCAGUCUGGUCACAGAGUCACCUACUGGGCUUGCUGUGUGCUUUAAAGUGAUGUUUUCCAAAGCUGAACGUUAUUUUGGAAACUCUGCGUGUUUUUUUGGUAUUGAAACAAAGGUGUUGAAGCAAGUGGUCCCCAUUUGUCAUUGUGAAAUCAGAGAGGAAGUUGCUGCCUACGAGACACAUACAACCUAUGCACAGCCUGGUUUUGGUGUUGUAGAGUUUUGCCAGAUUCUUUGGAAUUUGGUAUGUUUGGAAUGUUUGAAAUAUAUGAACAUUUCCAGAAA